CCUCCUUUAAAGAAACCGGAAUAAGGCGUGGAAGCGCCCGCACAAUCUGCCUAAUCGCCGUAAAGAUAGACCGCGGGUCUGUAGCUCAGUUGGUUAGAGCGCACCCCUGAUAAGGGUGAGGUCGGAAGUUCAACUCUUCCCAGACCCACCACCUCCUUGCGUGUAGGCGCAAAUAAGGUAACAAGGGGCCAUAGCUCAAAUGGGAAAGCACCUGCUUUGCAAGCAGGGGGUCGGCGGUUCGAUCCCGCCUGGCUCCACCAGGCGCUAAACCACGGCGGCAAUUCCCCGCCGUGGUUUAUCUCCUGGCCGAAGCGCCACGGGAUGUUCUUUUACAAUUUAAGUAGUAGUGAUGUACCACCGUGAAAUCCGGACAGCGUUUGACGUCCUGACUUUACUGGGUAUGCCAGCAUUUAUUAUGGUA
rnacentral:tRNA from 1 species